AAAUGGCUGGCAGCCAGCAUCUAGCUGAGAAAGACACUCAAGUGACGUUCUUUCGUCUGCGUUGCCGCUCUCUUGGGCUGGAAAGUUUCACUGUGGGAGCUGGGAGGCACAGAGAACAAUAAUGUAGGCAGAUGGAGUGUGCUGGGUUUCUCCUGGCAGGGCGGGCAGAUGGGCAGCCAAUCAGGGGCACUUCCUGUUUUGCCAUGCUCGAAUGCCAUUGUUCCCAACCUUGCAAUCUCCUGCUUUCUCUCCCUCUACUUUGCCGCUGCCCGGGAGGAAUUUAUAAACAUUUUGCCAGCGGAUCAAUACCCAUAUUGAUCAACCAUUGUGGGAGCAAUCUGUCUCAAGCCUGCAGCUCAGAGAUGGGAGGAGCAAUGGAGGGAGGCUGCGGAGAAGAAGAAUUAAGGGAGAAGGAGAGAGAGAGGAAAAGGAGAGGAGCUCCUACCUCAGAGAGAGGGAAAAGAGGUGGAGAAAAAGAUGAGGAGAAAUAUAGAACCUGGGAUGGGAAGACGAUGAGUGCUGGAGCUGAAUGGAUUCCCACACAUGAGAUAACAAAUGCCCACUAUAGAGCUCACGUCCGUCACCAAGGUGGACAUCCAGAUGUGCUGUUUCUGCAGGUGAGUGGGGAAGAGCACUGUUUCCUUCUUUAAUCACUACCUUGUUCUGAUACUCUUGCGUACAGUCACACUUUGAACGGGGUUUGUCUGUAAUGCUUAAACACUCAAGACUGUAAAUUUGAAUGGUGGCGAGGCUCUAUUAUAAAAUCUUUGCUGAAUUCUCUCCAACACAUUGUGGCUCCUUAACAGAUCAGGAAAUGCCCUUUUUAGGAUCAUAAAAUUACAAAAAAAAAUGAUGCUGUGAAACUUUAAGAACAGUAUGGGCAGCACUGAGUGUCCUUUCCAUUGAUGAUGGCCGUCAGUACAGUAUUGUACCUGUGGAGAGUUACGACUGGACCGUGGGACUAAGUACAUACUGAUGCUGGUUUCUCUGGACCACAUCUCUGGACACAAAGCUUCUGCUGAAUGAAUUGUAGUAAUUCAAGUCAAUCAGGGUUGCAAGGCGGAGAGCCAUUUCCUGACUGAAUGAUAUAUGGGUUUGCUUGGGACCUAGAAGUUUGGAGUCCUGGUCCUGGAAUGCAAGAACUGUACCAAGGAGACUACUACAAAGCACAAACAGUAUUAUUACUGCUGUUCUGGACCGGGAUACAACUAAGCAUGAAUACUACUGAAGCUGAAUACUAACGGUCUUGGAUACCAUUAAUCCUGAGCUGGAUGGAUGCUACAAGAUUUUCUCAAUUUGAGUGGAAUAGUCUUGACAAUAUUGCACUGGUGUUGUUCUGGUGCAGGCCUAGAGUAUGGAGAGUACCUGAGGGACAAGGGAUAAGCUUGCCCAAGCAGGGUCUGUAGUGAAGAUUAAGGACAUCCAAGGUCUCGUAAUGGAUAUACAACUGUAGCUCACUCUACGGGAAUUUUGUUGGGCAAUAUCCUGGCACAAUGCUGUCAUCCUGUCAUUCAUCAUUUCUGUUUAAGUUGGGGAUUAUUUACAGAGGGGUUCCUGGAUUACUCCAAGUAUAUGAUCUACCAUGGAGAACUGUAGAACUUAACCAAGAAGAGAACAUUCUAUACACUGAACACUAGCACAUACCACUAGCUGCAACGAUCCCUCCCCCAAGUCAACCAUCCAUUUCUCACACACAAUACCUAUAUUUUCACAUUCUUAACUAUACAAGCAGCAGUAUGCAGGUAAAACAUAUAAUCAGAGCUGCAUAUCCAAACAUGAACUUCAACCACAACAAUUCAGCACACAACAAUAAAACACAACAUCAGGCAAAAGUAAGCACAUGACUAUAGUGGCAGACAGAUCGAGACAGGAGCAUCACGUAUCUCUCUAUGUGUUUUCAGUACUUUUACUGUAUUAGAGUUUGGUAAUAGAGGUUACUGAUGUGGAACAGAGAGGGAUAGUGGUGUAAAUGACAGCAAAACCUGUGAACAGAGUUUGGCCCCCAUAUCAUAUUGGGCCCCCAGUCCAGAUCAAUCCAGUUAUUCUCCAAAUUUUUUAGGGGCCCUGUCACUCAGGGGCCCUUGGAAUCGACCUAACUCCCCCCCCUCCGCACAGCUGCAGUGAUCAGAGUGCUGUUAAUAUGUCAGCUGUUUUGUUUUGCCAGAAGAAUCAGUGGAAAAACAAUGUCUGGUGUUCAACAGAAAAUACACACCAAACUUUUCUGUUGUUAGUUCAAAAAUCAUGUAGCAUACCAGCGGGCCACAGGAGAGCUCAGCGUUUUUGCUGCUCAAUCGUGUUGCUGGUGAAGAAGAAUUAAAUCUGAGAGGAGACAAAACACAAGAUAGCGGUGUCAAAUGUCUGUUCCUAGAAACAAACGGAAUCAGAACAGUAUGACGGGGGGCUCAAGCAGAACACAGGAGACUUCCAAGAUACAACCAACAACAUCAUCUGAACAAAUACUGCCCUUUUUCUAGGCAAAUACCCAACAAAGAGUCUGCCCAAGUAACCAUGCCAGAGUGUGAGAAACAACUAUAAUUCCAAGGCACAUGAAGUUUUAUAUGCGACAAUUACGGUAUAAAAAUUUUAAAUAAGCAACAUGGUGCCUAUCUGGUGCCAGCCUCAUCUGGUGGAGGGAUGGGGGGGGGCGCAGUCACACGUAAGACUUGUUGGUGCUCCGUGGAAGAGGGCCGAGCAGCAACAGCCAUGAUUUCUGGAAGACAUUCAGCAUCCCUUUUCCCCAGAGUCCCCCCCCACACACACACACCCCACCCUGCUGCCAUGCCCUGGGGUGCCUACCAAGAGUGAUUGUUUUUGCGGCCACGAAAUUAGCAGUGUUGCAAAUUUAUUUUGUCGUGCUCAACUGCGCUGUAAUUAGCUCCAGGCCCAAACGAGAGUCACACCCCACCCCUGCAUCUGAGUGACAGGCCAGCAAUGAUUCAGCAAGAGCAAGGGGAGUUGGGACUGGGGGGCCGGCUGGAAUGUAUUAUACACACAGUAUUGGCAGCACUCAGGUUCUGCAGGUCCAGCUGGCAGUAUUUUCACUUGUGCCUAGACACAGAAAAGGGCACAUGCCAUUGCUUAAAAACACACCUUAAUAUAAUUUAUAUGUUUGCCAAAUACUCAUGAUAUACUGUUCUGCCCCCCAAAAAAUGAAGAAUGACCAAGAACCCUCAGUUAUUCAUGUUCCUAUGGGAAGAAAAUGUUGCUAUAGGAAGAAAAUGGAGUGUCCUACAGCCAAAGCUUAAAUAAAGUAUUUUCAUAUUUCAGCGUGGCCGGAAUUCCUGACUCCACCCAGAAGGGCCCCUUCCAGGCAAAAGCAUUUCAGGCUUGUGAUACAGGACAAACAUCAAUAUUAGAAGUACAUCUACCAGAUCAUCAGUAUCUUCCGAAGGAAAGGGCACAACAGACAUCCUGAAAAAGACACCAUAAAUAAACAAGCUUUCAGAUAUGCAAGACCAUCCAUUUUCAAAAAACUGCUUUUCCAGUGCAGGGUCACAUUGCCGAAGACGUAACUGUGGCAGCUAAUUAAGACAAUGUGAUUUGCAGAAAAGGUUAUGUGUGUGUUUGAAUCAGAGGAAAAUGUCUCAAAAUCGAAGUGGUUACAUAGUCCAUGACAUCACUAUCAAUAACAACAAGAAUAAGAAAUGAUUAUUCUUUUAAUUAUAUAUUUGGAGAAAACAUGAAAGCUUUUUGUACAGCUCAUUUUUCACAUCCUCAUACCCAAACUUAAUUAGUUCAAGCAGCUAAAUUAUUAUGUGAUGGGGCCAGUUAUUCAUACCAGAAAGGGCAGCUUAAAGCGGUCUGUAGCAUUUACAGGAGUGAUCUAUGGGUCAUCUAGAUCCAAGGGAGAUAAUGUGUAAGAGUGUCUUUAUGUGAAACAUAGUUUGGGAUGACUUUGAUUGUAUGAAUGUGCUCUAUUUGUUAGCAUCUGAUGGCCUUUAUGAGUAGGAGCUCUCUGUUCUAUUGGAUUAUCCUAACUGCAUUUUCCCUGUGACAAAGUGUAUCUGAAUGGUUUUGUUUAUUUACGGAAGACAGGCGUGUCUGUGUCCUCCAUUCUCAAUCUACCGAACUGACCUUGGGCUGACAUUAUCCUGCGGGGAAUUCAAAACAUCACUUAGCGCAGGUUAUGUGAAGAUUACACUCACAACCAGAGGAAGAGAACAAAGCAUGAGAACACUGAACGAACAGCAGAGAAAGAGAACAUUAAACUUACAACAAAGGAGGAAAACAGAUGGAGAACAGAGGAGAUGAUUUAUCUUAGAACUGAGGAGGAGAGCAGAGAAGGAGAACAUUAACCUUACAAGAGAGGAAGAGUUCAGAGGAGGAGAACAUUACAUUUAUAAUAAAGAAGGAAAAAGAUGGAGAACAGAGGAGAAGAUUGAUCAUAGUGCAAGGGAGGAGGGUGGAGAAAGAACAUUAAACUCACAACAGAGGAAGAGAACAGAGGAUGAGAACAUGAAACUCAUUAAGCCUAUAACAAAGGAGGAAAACAGAUGGAAAACAGAAGGAGAAGCUUCAUUUAACAGCAAAGGGACACAGAACAGAUGAAGCUGCCUGCCUUCCAUUGUCUCUUGGUUCUUGUUUGCAUACAUGAUCCUGCAGGUCUAUGCUCACAUAUACUGUAGUCCUGCAUCUCUGCUGACUUGGUUGCACCUCACUAUCUGUAUCUGCACUAGCUAAUAUCUCCAGCUAUCUUUUAAAAAAAUGUUCUUCGCUUUUAUUCAGCUAUAACAAAAUGAACAACCUGAACCUUUGUGAAGCA